CCUACGGGUGGCAGCAGUGAGGAAUAUUGGUCAAUGGGCGGGAGCCUGAACCAGCCAAGUCGCGUGAGGGAAGAAGGUACUGAGUAUUGUAAACCUCUUUUGCCAGGGGACAAAGGCGGCCACAGGUGGCCGUAAGAGGGUACCUUGAGAAAAAGCAUCGGCUAACCCCGUGCCAGCAGCCGGGUUAAUACGGGGGAUGCGAGCGUUGUCCGGAUUUAUUGGGUUUAAAGGGUGCGCGGGGGGCGGGUCAAGUCAGCGGUAAAAUGUCGGGCCUCAACCCCGGCCGGCCGUUGAAACUGGCGUGCUCGAGUUGGAGAGAAGGAUGCGGAAUUCGUGGUGUAGCGGUGAAAUGCAUAGAGAUCACGAAGAACCCCGAUUGCGAAGGCAGCAUACCGGCUCCACACUGACGCUGAGGUACGAAAGCGUGGGGAUCGAACAGGAUUAGAUACCCGGGUAGUC
rnacentral:rRNA from 1 species